GUUGGUUCUACCCGAAGAUGGUGCGCUAACCGCAAGGAGGCAGUCAGCCACGGUAGGGUCAGCGACUGGGGUGAAGUCGUAACAAGGUAGCCGUAGGUGAACCUGCAGAAGGAUCA
rnacentral:rRNA from 1 species